rnacentral:rRNA from 1 species
GGAUUAGAUACCCUGGUAGUCCACGCUGUAAACGAUGUCAACUAGCCGUUGGGGAUCUUAGUAUCUUUAGUGGCGUAGCUAACGCGCUAAGUUGACCGCCUGGGGAGUACGGUCGCAAGAUUAAAACUCAAAUGAAUUGACGGGGGCCCGCACAAGCGGUGGAGCAUGUGGUUUAAUUCGACGCAACGCGAAGAACCUUACCUGGUCUUGACAUCCUGCGAACUUUCUAGAGAUAGAUUGGUGCCUUCGGGAACGCAGUGACAGGUGCUGCAUGGCUGUCGUCAGCUCGUGCCG